rnacentral:rRNA from 1 species
GGGGAAGGGUAGCUUGCUACCUGACCUAGCGGCGGACGGGUGAGUAAUGCUUAGGAAUCUGCCUAUUAGUGGGGGACAACAUUCCGAAAGGAAUGCUAAUACCGCAUACGCCCUACGGGGGAAAGCAGGGGAUCUUCGGACCUUGCGCUAAUAGAUGAGCCUAAGUCAGAUUAGCUAGUUGGUGGGGUAAAGGCCUACCAAGGCGACGAUCUGUAGCGGGUCUGAGAGGAUGAUCCGCCACACUGGGACUGAGACACGGCCCAGACUCCUACGGGAGGCAGCAGUGGGGAAUAUUGGACAAUGGGCGAAAGCCUGAUCCAGCCAUGCCGCGUGUGUGAAGAAGGCCUUUUGGUUGUAAAGCACUUUAAGCGAGGAGGAGGCUACUUGGAUUAAUACUCUAGGAUAGUGGACGUUACUCGCAGAAUAAGCACCGGCUAACUCUGUGCCAGCAGCCGCGGUAAUACAGAGGGUGCGAGCGUUAAUCGGAUUUACUGGGCGUAAAGCGUGCGUAGGCGGCUUUUUAAGUCGGAUGUGAAAUCCCUGAGCUUAACUUAGGAAUUGCAUUCGAUACUGGGAAGCUAGAGUAUGGGAGAGGAUGGUAGAAUUCCAGGUGUAGCGGUGAAAUGCGUAGAGAUCUGGAGGAAUACCGAUGGCGAAGGCAGCCAUCUGGCCUAAUACUGACGCUGAGGUGCGAAAGCAUGGGGAGCAAACAGGAUUAGAUACCCUGGUAGUCCAUGCCGUAAACGAUGUCUACUAGCCGUUGGGGCCUUUGAGGCUUUAGUGGCGCAGCUAACGCGAUAAGUAGAC